UAUUUUCGUUUAUUUAUAUUUGCCCCCUUGCUCAAACUCUCGACAUCGCUCUCUUUCUCUCGCUCGCCCAAAUACAGGUAUGAAUCACUCUUCCUCUCUUGAUUUGUCAAUAUCUCUCGAUCUCUCAAUCCCUCUCUUUCUCUCUCUCGAUCUCCAUCGCCCCUCUCUCUCUCUGUAUAUAUAUUUGCUAGGGUUUAGAUCGAUACAUUCAUCUGCCCUUCGCGAUUUCUAUUCUUCAAUUUAUGUUCUUUGCGAUUUCUUCUUAUGAUUGAUGCCUUCAGUAUCAUUUGGAAUUCUGUUCUUCGCAAUUUCUUCAAAGGAUAUGCUGAAGCAUCACAUAAAGUAAAGCUGAAGGCUGGUCUGUUUGAUGUGGGCUUGGAGGACAUUAAGAGGGCCAGGCUGCAAAAAUGCAGCAGUUCUUUGAGUGGUCCUCAAAAAGUGGAUCCCAAAACAGCGCUUUACACAGAGCUAUGGCGCGCUUGUGCUGGUCCGCUUGUGACAAUGCCUCGUGAAGGCCAGCGCGUGUUCUAUUUUCCUCAAGGACAUAUUGAACAGCUUUGAAAGAUCUAGAAAUUGGAGUGACAUUAUUUGGAUUGCCGUUUCCUUGCUGCUGCUCGUUUUCUCAAUGCAGCUUUGAAAGAUCUAGAAGUUGGGUACUUUGUGUUCUGAUCUAUUCCUCAUCAUAAUGUGUGUUGAUCAGGUGCAAGCUUGGAUUUGAGGAACAUAUAUCUCCAUGACUCGAAGAAGAAUGACCUUAUGUUUAUGAACUCGGACAAGUUUAGUGACUUCCAGAUCAAAAUUUGGGAGUGAAGAACCGUGUUGGCAAUCAAGAAGGGGAAAUUCUCUUCAGCAAAUUGUUAUUUUCACAUUCUAUAGGUGUUCUUCACCUAUUAAUAGUCCUGCAAAAACUUCAUUUUCAUCCUCUGAAGUACUCCUGCAGUACACUAAACGAUAUCGUUUUGAUUAAAUUUAGAUGGUUUUCAAUUUUUUCAUUCAAUGGAAGGUAUUGAACGAUUUCUAACCCUUGAAUUACAUAUGCCCAUUUGGCAAUAACCCUUCUUGCAUUAGUUAAGAGGCAUCUAUAGACUAUAAAACAAUUUUACAAAGAACUUUGUCGCAUUGCAUCUUAAAUCGCUCUGCUUUUCCUUUGGCUGCUAACGCUUUUUCAAUUGACUUUGUUUUCAGAAGAAAAUCAAAAUCCUGUCUAAACCCAGUUAACUAGUUAAAUUCUACUCAAUAGGUUGAAAUCUUCUGUUUUCCUCAAUCAUUGUAACGAAAAAUACGAGCUUAAAAUUUACUCAAAUCUUUUUAAUUUUUAGAAUUGUCAUACAGACCUAAAAGUUAAAAAUAAAAUAAAAUAAAAUAAAAUAAAAAUUACUCAAAGUUGAAAAAAGGCAAAAAUAAGCUGACUUUUUAGUUUUGCAAAUAACUGAGACUGUUGAAUGGAUUCAUAGAUGCUGCACUCAAAAUGGAACCUGUUUCAGGGUAGACAGCGCAAUUAAACCUCCUGUUGGUACCAACUUUGCAAAAGAUGGACAUUGAUGGAAAAUUUCUCUAACAGGUUUCAAGUUUUCCAAAUAGAUUAUAUGCUUUUUGUUCUUGGUUCUCAUUUUAAUGCUUUUCUUCUCUAUCAAUCACUCUGUUUCUUUUACUUCCCAAAAAAAAAUAAAAAAAUCACCCCGGUUCUUGGAAAACUGUGUGGUGCAUAAAAUAGCCCAAUUGUUUUUAAUUUUUUUUUUUUUUUUUCCCAUUCUAUUAGCUAAUUGAAACAUGGAAAUUAAGUCUGUUUAACUUGAU